GAUGAACGCUAGCGGGAGGCCUAAUACAUGCAAGUCGAGCGGUAGAGUGACUUCGGUUGCUUGAGAGCGGCGAACGGGUGAGUAACGCGUACACAAUCUACCUCUAAGAGGGGAAUAGCCCUGGGAAACUGGGAUUAAUGCCCCAUGGCAUCACGAGACGGCAUCGUUUUGUGAUUAAAGCUGAGGUGCUUAGAGAUGAGUGUGCGUCUGAUUAGCUAGUUGGUGCGGUAACGGCGCACCAAGGCGACGAUCAGUAGGGGGCGUGAGAGCGUGGACCCCCCANACGGGUACUGAGACACGGACCCGACUCCUACGGGAGGCAGCAGUAAGGAAUAUUGGUCAAUGGAGGAAACUCUGAACCAGCCAUCCCGCGUGCAGGAAGAAUGCCCUAUGGGUUGUAAACUGCUUUUAUCUGGGAAGAAAAGUCGGCAUUUAUGCUGAUCUGACGGUACCAGAGGAAUAAGCACCGGCUAACUCCGUGCCAG
rnacentral:rRNA from 1 species